UCUUGCUGUGCAUCAACGUCUGUUUUGUUUUCAGGAGAAACAACUAGAAGUGUUCAGCAAAGAAGAAGAAGAAUCUUUAUGAAAGACGAUACAGCACAUGGGCGAUACUAAUCCAGAGGAAUCUUUAUGAUCUACCUUGAGCACAUUUCACUCAAAAAUGUGCCAGUCAAAAUCUGCUGCUGAGACACUACAGGCUCAAGCACUGGCACCCAGGCCAACGUGUAUCACUGCUGUGUCUCCCUGAGUGUGUCUGCACUUUCAAUACACCAGCAGAACAAAAAACUUAGCAGAACAAAUACAUUUAUACAGAUUUGGAACAACUAGAGGACAACAGACAUCCUAUCACACAAAUACACUACGGCUCUACAGGGACUCCCCUUGUACCUCAGGGAACGUGACGUAAUAUCAAAGACUUGUCUGGACACGGAUUUAGAGGAGACUUGCACAAGAGAAGUGAAACUGGCAAUUCUCACAGUCAUGGAGGAUGAUCUCUCACAGGCAACAAAAAGAUGUCUAAACUUCGGCAUCAUCCUGGAGGAAACUGUGGUCAUGGAGGACCUACCUGACUUUCCCACUGCUUUCAUGGUACUCUUUGGACUUCUCUAUGCGCUGAAUAUUGAAUAUCCAAAAGGACUAAAAUACACAUUUGAGGCAGUGCAGAACAUCUUUGUGGGAUUGGGAGAAAAGUGCACCAACAGAGUUCAGUCCCUGAAGAAUAAGCUUUUUACUGUAUAGGGAGUUUAAGAUGCAUUGAGUUUUUUCAGAUGCUCUUAUUGUUGGUGGGUACCUUUUGUCAUGAACACGAAACAGAGCAGACCCAAACGCAGGAUAGCGUAAAUCAAAACAGGGUUUAAUAACUGAAAACACGAAACAUCACGCAGACAAAAGACAGGACAAACCACAGUUAAAUACACAAGACAAUGAGAACUAUAAGGAUCAGGUGUGAUGACAGGGAGGAGCAGACGAAGGCGGGGCAGACACGUGACAAGAAACAUAAACAAGUGCACGUGGCCAGAGUCCGGGCAGAGUCCUUACAGAGCCCCCUCCAAGGCGCGGCUCCCGACGCGCCAAUCCGUCCAGGCAGUCCCGACGGG